rnacentral:rRNA from 1 species
AUUGAACGCUGGCGGCAGGCCUAACACAUGCAAGUCGAGCGAGCGGCGGACGGGUGAGUAAUGUAUGGGGACUGCCCGAUAGAGGGGGAUAACUACUGGAAACGGUAGCUAAUACCGCAUACUAUCGGAUAACCCAUAUGGGUUUCGCUAGUCGGUUAGGUAAUGGCUCACCUAGGCGACGAUCCCUAGCUGGUCUGAGAGGAUGAUCAGCCACGCUGUGACUGAGACACGGCCCAGACUCCUACGGAGGCAGCAGUGGGGAAUAUUGCACUAUGGGCGCAAGCCUGAUGCAGCCAUGCCGCGUGUAUGAAGAUGGCCCUAGGGUUGUAAAGUACUUUCAGUCGGGAGGCGUGACCGACAGAAGAAGCACCGGCUAACUACGUGCCAGCAGCCGCGGUAAUAG